UCCUGGUAAAAUCGGGUAGCUUAACUAUCUAUAUGCUAGGAAUACUGCUAUACUAGAGGGCGGGAGAGGUUUGAGGUACUACAGGGGUAGGGGUGAAAUUUUAUAAUCCUUGUAGGACCACCAGUGGCGAAGGCGUCAGACUGGAACGCGCCUGACGGUGAGGGACGAAAGCCAGGGGAGCGAACCGGAUUAGAUACCCGGGUAGUCCUGGCCGUAAACGAUGCAUACUAGGUGAUGGUACGGCCAUGAGCCGUAUCAGUGCCGUAGGGAAACCGUUAAGUGUGCCGCCUGGGAAGUACGGUCGCAAGGCUAAAACUUAAAGGAGUUGGCGGGGGAGCACCACAAGGGGUGAAGCCUGCGGUUCAAUUGGACUCAACGCCGGGAAACUUACCAGGGGAGACAGCAGUAUGACGGUCAGGUUGACGACCUUACCCGACGAGCUGAGAGGAGGUGCAUGGCCGUCGCCAGUUCGUGCCGUGAGGUAUCCUGUUAAGUCAGGCAACGAACGAGAUCCGCGCCUUUAUUUGCCAACAAGAAGUCACGACUUCGUUGGGAACACUAAAGGGACCGCCGUCGAUAAGACGGAGGAAGGAGCGGGCAAAGGCAGGUCAGUAUGCCCCGAAACCCCUGGGCUACACGCGGGCUGCAAUGGUAUGAACAAUGGGCUGUGACUCCGAAAGGAGAAACCAAUCCCGAAAUCAUAUCUCAGUUGGAAUUGUCGGCUGUAACCCGCCGACAUGAACGUGGAAUCCCUAGUAAUCGUGUGUCAUCAUCGCACGGUGAAUACGUCUCUGCUCCUUG
rnacentral:rRNA from 1 species